AGCUCCCCCUCCCCUCUCUGUAUUGUGUGAUUCUCUGAGCAGUGAAAUAUGAGACACUGGCAAAACCUUUUUUUUUUUCUCUUCACUCCCUGUCUUGGCCUAGGCCAUUGUGAGGCUCAGCCAAGCCAUGACAUUUAACCCCUUCUGCUUACAAUCAGUAUUGUCAGUGUUUUGUUGCAGUAGCAGGCAAUACUAAUGCUCUGCACUAUUGAGCUAGAUCAACUUCGAGAAGUUGCGUUCAGGCCCGGACUGGCAAUCUGUGGGUUCUGGCAAAUGCCAGAGGGGCUGCUAUAAGGUCCCAUUGAAAGUCAGUAUUUAGUGGGCUGGUGGGGGCUGUUUGGGCCUCUAUGUGGGCUGAUUGGGCCUCUGUGUUCCUGAAAUGCCAGGUCCUAUUUUAAUUCUCAGUCCGGACCUGGUUACGUUGAACAAUAAAUCUCAGUGAAAACCUUGCACAUGUAUGGUUUAUGAUUUAUUUUGUGCAAAGGCAAUAAAACUCGAGCAAUAUUGCGCUAUGCGGUUAAGUGAACUAUAUAUAUAAUAAAGUAAAAAGCAAAAGUCGCAGAAGUACUGGGGACUUGCAGCUUCCUACUGAGUGGGUAACGCCUGAAAGUGGCAGCAAUGGUGCAUUUCAUUGUGUGGAAAUACCUACAAAUACUUUUUAGCCAAAAAGGUGGGGGCUUUUAGUCCCAUUAAGUUAACCGGAGAAGGCAUUAAUUGCUUUUUGCUCCACAGAGAUCUGCCCAUAUGCCUUAGGGCUAUAGCACUCGAGAAGAUUUAGAGAGAUGUCACUCAAUUUUUUUUUUUUGCGCGGAUGAUAAAUUUCCAGAAAAUGCCUCUCCACUGACCGCAAUUGAAAUCACUAGUGGUAUGUCCAACUUAUCUCUAAAUCACCUGAAGUUUUUGUAUAUGUGAUUGGUAGAGUAAGGAGGCUGACAGAUGUUUAAAAACUUUCUUUACAGUAGCAGCCAGCCAGUGCCUGAAAGCAUCCAAAAGUAGUGCAGCACUAUAUCGUGCGUCUUGAACAAGUUUCUCUGAAUUUUAGAAGAAAACUGAAUUUGGUUAUUAAACUAAUUUAAGGAGCAUUUGUUGCAGCAUUUUAACUUCAGUAAAGCUUUUAAAUUGACACUGGAGAGAACCCAGAGUUACCACCACCCUGGAGCACCAAUACUUGUGCCAAAUAAAUCAUAUUGAAACACUGUUUUAACCGGUACUCUGCUAUUUCACUCUUUGCUAAAAAUACCCUUUUGCAUGAGUGAUUUUCAUU